GGACAGGUGACUGAGUGGUUGAAAGUGCUGCUCUCGAAAAGCAGUGUGCUUGGAAGCGUACCGUGGGUUCAAAUUCCACCCUGUCCGCCA
rnacentral:tRNA from 1 species